rfam:Salmo salar isolate Sally breed double haploid chromosome ssa14, whole genome shotgun sequence.
UGCAUUCAAUACUGUAAAUCGCUCUGGAUAAGAGCGUCUGCUAAAUGACUAAAA